rnacentral:lncRNA from 1 species
AAAAGGUCAGAGGGACUGGCCAUAGGCAUAUGUGAAGCUUUCUUGCCAAUCUUCAUUGAACUCACACUUCAAAAGUCAUGGUUUUCUCUUUGUUUUAUUGUAAUUUUCUGUUUUAUUAUAAAGAAGAUUGCAGAAAAGAGGCAGAAUAGGAGAGCUGAAAGACAAAAAAAGAGUAUCUAAACAACAGAGGACACAUACUGGAAUCUCUGGAGCUCAUCCCUUCAGAGGGUCCUUCCCAGAAGAACUGUAUCUCCACUUCCUUGGUUCUCUGGAAUAAAUUACAACCUUAUGACUCAUGAGUCCAAACAGGACAGUCUUUACGUCUACCCAUCUUAUGAUUGAUGUGGCUCUCAAGGAACAACAAAACCUAAGCAAAUUAUGGGAAAAAGCAUUUAUCAACCACGCAAAUGAAGCCAUUCUUUGUAUGUAUUAUGCAUCUCAAUCUCCAUAUAUGGUUAUCAACGUAAUAAUUCAAGUAAAGAGUUUUUCUACACCAGGAGUUCCAAAACCAAGCUACAUUCAAAGAGAGAAACAACACAUUGGAUACUCAAGUUAUGAACCGUCAGAAGAGUCAGAAAUUC